rnacentral:rRNA from 1 species
UGCAGUCGAACGGUGAAGCCAAGCUUGCUUGGUGGAUCAGUGGCGAACGGGUGAGUAACACGUGAGCAACCUGCCCUGGACUCUGGGAUAAGCGCUGGAAACGGCGUCUAAUACUGGAUAUGAGACGUGAUCGCAUGGUCGUGUUUGGAAAGAUUUUUCGGUCUGGGAUGGGCUCGCGGCCUAUCAGCUUGUUGGUGAGGUAAUGGCUCACCAAGGCGUCGACGGGUAGCCGGCCUGAGAGGGUGACCGGCCACACUGGGACUGAGACACGGCCCAGACUCCUACGGGAGGCAGCAGUGGGGAAUAUUGCACAAUGGGCGGAAGCCUGAUGCAGCAACGCCGCGUGAGGGAUGACGGCCUUCGGGUUGUAAACCUCUUUUAGCAGGGAAGAAGCGAAAGUGACGGUACCUGCAGAAAAAGCGCCGGCUAACUACGUGCCAGCAGCCGCGGUAAUACGUAGGGCGCAAGCGUUAUCCGGAAUUAUUGGGCGUAAAGAGCUCGUAGGCGGUUUGUCGCGUCUGCUGUGAAAUCCCGAGGCUCAACCUCGGGUCUGCAGUGGGUACGGGCAGACUAGAGUGCGGUAGGGGAGAUUGGAAUUCCUGGUGUAGCGGUGGAAUGCGCAGAUAUCAGGAGGAACACCGAUGGCGAAGGCAGAUCUCUGGGCCGUAACUGACGCUGAGGAGCGAAAGGGUGGGGAGCAAACAGGCUUAGAUACCCUGGUAGUCCACCCCGUAAACGUUGGGAACUAGUUGUGGGGACCAUUCCACGGUUUCCGUGACGCAGCUAACGCAUUAAGUUCCCCGCCUGGGGAGUACGGCCGCAAGGCUAAAACUCAAAGGAAUUGACGGGGACCCGCACAAGCGGCGGAGCAUGCGGAUUAAUUCGAUGCAACGCGAAGAACCUUACCAAGGCUUGACAUAUACGAGAACGGGCCAGAAAUGGUCAACUCUUUGGACACUCGUAAACAGGUGGUGCAUGGUUGUCGUCAGCUCGUGUCGUGAGAUGUUGGGUUAAGUCCCGCAACGAGCGCAACCCUCGUUCUAUGUUGCCAGCACGUAAUGGUGGGAACUCAUGGGAUACUGCCGGGGUCAACUCGGAGGAAGGUGGGGAUGACGUCAAAUCAUCAUGCCCCUUAUGUCUUGGGCUUCACGCAUGCUACAAUGGCCGGUACAAAGGGCUGCAAUACCGUGAGGUGGAGCGAAUCCCAAAAAGCCGGUCCCAGUUCGGAUUGAGGUCUGCAACUCGACCUCAUGAAGUCGGAGUCGCUAGUAAUCGCAGAUCAGCAACGCUGCGGUGAAUACGUUCCCGGGUCUUGUACACACCGCCCGUCAAGUCAUGAAAGUCGGUAACACCUGAAGCCGGUGGCCCAACCCUUGUGGAGGGAGCC